rnacentral:rRNA from 1 species
AUUGAACGCUGGCGGCAUGCCUUAUACAUGCAAGUCGAACGGCAGCACGGACUUCUGUCUGCCGGCGAGUGGCGAACGGGCGGGUAAUUCACCCGAACGUACCCUGCCUAUGGGGCUGACUAGACUACAGAUUAGCUAAUCUCGCACCCGAUCUGAUGGUGAACGUGGGGGUCCGGAAACGGCCUCAUGCAGUACGAGCGGUCGGAGUCUGAUUAGCUAGUUGGUGGGGUAUAGGUACACCAAGGCGACGAUCAGUAGCUGAUCUGAGAGGGCGAUCAGCCACACUGGGACUGAGACACGGCCCAGACUCCUACGGGAGGCAGCAGUAGGGAAUUUUGGACAAUGGGGGCAACCCUGAUCCAGCAAUGCCGCGUGUGUGAAGAAGGCCUUCGGGUUGUAAAGCUCUUUUAUCCGGAAAGAAAACGCGCUUAUUAAUACCUGGCGUGGAUGACGGUACCGGAAGAAUAAGCACCGGCUAACUACGUG